CCCACACCCAGAGAGGAUGUGACGCUAGGGACCAGGGAAAGCCAAGGCUGGCCAGAGGAACUAAAUAUCAAUAACAACAAAAAUGACCACAGAAAUCCUGAGACAGCCACAUCCUGGAUUCUGACAGAUGUUUUGUCAUUGAAAGUCUUGUGAUGCUACUGCUAGGACAAUCAGGAUCUGUCCUAUUCCCGAGCAUCAACCCUCCUGGGCACCAAGGAUGAAGACAGGAAGCUCAGAGGACCAGGCCCACGGGAGCCUAGAAGCACUGUCACACUCACAACUGCCCUCACCUAACUCCCAGGCUUUGGGGUCAAAAGUCAGGCAUGGGUCUCCCAGAGAUGUUAAGGCAUGGCCAGGGCUGCAGCCUACCUUUCUUAGCUCCUGGAGACCCUGUGUAGUUCCACUGGAGCCCUCCCCGGACCAUCCAGGGCCACCUGCUACCUCAAGGCCAGCUGCUUGGCAACCUUAACCCUCAGUGACCUUCAUUCCAUGUUACCAGGAGCCCUAACAUAUUCACAGGCUCCAGGCCGGGCAGCGGGAGGUCUGAGGGCUGUGAUUCUGUCAAGCACGUUGACAGCCACUCUCUGGCCAGAACUCUCCCUUUAAUCCCACCAGGAUAAAAAUGGAGGCUGCCUAGCCAGGCUGACCAAAGCCUGAAGGAAAAUUAGUUCCAUAAACCGGUGAUGAGUGCCAAAGUGACUAGCACCAAAUCAGUUUCUCCCGUAAGAAAUAAUGUCAUUAGAAAUAAUUGGCAAAACUUCCCAGAACGCUCACAUUUUAUUGGCUAAUACUGGCCUUUGACUGAGCUGAUAGAAGCCUUGUAGGCUUAGUGAGAUAACACGUAACCUUUGUGUGACUCACGAUUAGCACUAAAAAUGCACGAAAGUACCGGACAGGAAGUAGGGGUUCUGAGCUGUUCCAAGGACCCAAGCGCUGAGCCCUGAAGUGUUUCCUCUCAAAAUGCCAGGAGGAGCGGGCUUGAUGAGUGUCCAGCCGGCGAGGACCGAACGAGGACUGCUGAUCUCAGGUUGGCCCAGGUGACAGCCUGAGAAGACCAGAGAGGUCGCAUCUAUGACCAAGGGGAGAGGAAGCGCAGGGUGGCAAGCGGGAGCAACGGCCUUGGUCUUGGUUCUCCUGCACCUGGUGAGGCUUGGAGAGGUGAGGCCCUUGACCCUGAGCCUGCAGCGCACAGGCGGACACACAGGUUCAGGCCUGGCUGGACUCCCAGGGCUCUGCAAAGCAAAACACAGCAGGGUCAUGCAGAGGAGCCAAAUGGAGCCGCCGGUGACACACAGCUGUCCCAAAGCCCUUAAACGAUAGGCUCAGGCCAGGCUCAGUGGUCCCAUGGCUCCCAGGGCAGGGGCGGCCCUUGCAGAGAAAGCUGGAGCCUCCGGGGCAGACCAAAUCCCGGAUCAGAGUCUCAGCCAGGGCUCAGCCUCGUGGGAGAUAUUUUGGACCCUUAAAUCCCAGCUAUAUCCCAACAUCCCCCAAAUAACUGAAAGCUCUGGCUGGCCUGAUCCAAUGAAGCCAAGGACAUCUGAAAGCUGGCCUGAAGAAGGAGCUGGGGGGAACUGGGGCCGGGCAGACAGGGGCCCACCAGCAGGUCCAGCCACUUGCAGCACGUCCCUGUCACCUGUGAGUCCAUUCUCCUCCGGGCAUGUGAAGACCCCUGUGGUACCACAUGGGGGUUGAUGAAGAUUCCUGAAAUAAAACAUCAAUGACCAGGUCA